GGGGCCGGGGCGGGGCCGGGGGCUCCAGGGUACCAGAGGCCCCGCUCGCCCCAUCACUGCGCCGCCGGUGCUGCCGCCGCGACCCCGCCCCCGCCCUGCCCCACCGCGCCUGCAGAGACUCGGGGAAGUGCCGGGCGGGCACGGGGCGGUCUCCAAGUCCUCGAAUCUGUCCUUUCCGUUGUUUUCUGGACGUGACCUUAAGUCACCCAGAACUAACUGGGGCGCCUGGUCCAGCGGUCGAAGGGGAACCGCAGGGUCUCUGCCUGACCGAAAUGGUAACCUGGCAGCAGGGGAAGGUGGCGAGAGGUUCUAGAAGUCGCCUGAGAACUUUGCGCCAUCGGCAGCUCCUACCUAAAAUCGUCGGGAGCUGCUAAAAUCGUCUUUAGGAAGGCUGGCAGCCAAGUUUGACAUCCCAGCGUUCCAUACAAGGAUGGACGGUGACUUGGGAGGCAUGUGGGAUCUUAGCUCCCCGACCAGGGAUCGAACCUGCACCCCCUGCAUUGGGAGGCGAAGUCCCAACCACUGGACCGCCAGGGAAGUCCCAGCGUUCAACAGAAGAUGGCCAGCUAUUGUCAAGCUAUACUGAAGAGAGGAAAAAAAGAAUAAACAAAAAAACCCAGCUUUUAUAAAAAUAAAAGAAUCUUCCGUAGGGGCGGUUCUUCUUGAAGACAGACAGAAAUACCUACUGGAAAACCUCAAAAGAAGCUCUAGGGUCGUCAUUUUCUGACCAGAUGCAAGAUGUUACAUUUUCUUAGUAUGAAAGAAUAUACUUUGUAACAUUCCAAAUAUGCUAUUAUCACUCACAUUACCAGUAUUUCUAUUUAAAUAGUUUUUGAGAUUUAAAUUGUCAAAGCCUUUAAAACCUGUUUGUGUUCAUGCAUUAGAUGUUGCCAACGUUUGUAUAAAUAAAUGCUCUAAAAAUUAUCCUUUACAGAUUCAUGCAGAAGAGUGGUUGCCAGUUUGGGAACUCACACUCUAUUGUCAACACUUGAAAAAUCCCAAGUAAUAAUAUUAGAUAUUCACCUGAGAUAAGACUCCGCAAGAUAGGUAAAAAACAUCAAAUCUAUUUGCUUUAACUAACAUGACAUUAAGUCACAUACCUUGGGUACUAUGGUUUUCAGUUACACAUGUCUAAUUUAAGCAUAUUUAUUAUUUACAUAGAUAAUACAUUCACAUGGCUAGAAAUCAAAACAAGGUAAAAGAUACACAGUGAGAUGUCUUGCUCCCAACCCUAUCCUCAGCCACCCCAUCCAUACCUCUCUUUUGUUCCAUGUAGGUAACCACUUUGGUUGUUUCCUUGCAUAUCCUUUAAAAAUAACUUUUAUGCCAAUAUAACUAUAGACUCUGAUUUCUUCCCUUUUUAUACAAAAGAUAGUAUAAACGCUAUUCUGCAUGUUCUUACUUCCCUUCACAAUACAUCCUGCAAAUCUUACUGUGUUCCAUUGUGUAGAUGCAUCACAGUUUAUUUAACCAGUUCCCUCAUGAUGAAAACUGGGUGGUUUCCAAUAUUUUGCUACAAUGAAUCCUCUUGUGUAUGUAAUUUUGUUUAUGAGCAUGUGUAUCUGUAGGAUAAAAAUCCCAGAAAUGUGAAGGCUGUAAUUUUGAUAACUGUGACCACACUGCCCCCUAUAGGGAAUAUAUCAUUUUGCAGUUUCACCAGCCAUGUGUUAGAGGUCCAGUUUUUCCACAGCCUCACUAACUUGAUUUUUCAAAACUAAAAACAAAUUUUAUAAAAGUAGUUGGGUUGUUAGAUAAAUAUUCAAAACACUGGGACAAUGCUGUGUGUGUUGGGGGGAGGGGCGGAAAUAAGAGCAAUUUUUAAAUAACAAAGGAGUGGAACAUUUGGUACAGAAGAACAGUGACUUGAAUAUGUUUUACUUACCCGUUCCUUAAUUUUUUCGGUCAGAAAUGGUUUAAUCAUGGAAAAAACAGCGUGGAAAAUUAUUGGCUCAUUUAUCAAAUGGAUACCACGAACUUUUAAUGGAAAGGAAUCCUUUGAAAAUAAAGAAAAUGUCUUGUUAAUAACAAAGCAUAGAUCAAUAUGUAAUUCCUAUCGACAAGCCCCUUCUUUGAACACUUGCUAAACUUACAGCAAUGCCUAAAGUGUGAUUUUAUUUUCAAAAUUAUGCCAUCAACACAAUAGCCUGCUUUAUAGUUCACUGUCCCUAGAUUAAGAAAAGGUCUCUAAAAAGGUUUCACCUUGUAGUUUAAGCAAAGUAUUUUAAGAAAUACCUGCACCUUUCAUAAGCAGGACACAGAAAAUAUCUUCCCCAAUCACAUAUAAAUGUGCUUUUGAAAAAUCAAUGAGUCAUUUGGAUAUUUAACCUUUCCCCUCAAAUUUUUAUUUUGAGGAAGAAAAAUCAAACUUUCAUAAAAGUUGAAAGAAUAGUACAAUAAACACACACUUUUAAACUUUUGACACAGGUAUAAGUCUUUCACAUCAAAGUAAUAUCGGCUUUUUUCUAAGGUUUAAAAUGUUAAGGAUUCAAAGAAAAACCUCACCAGUAGUUUCCCUACCCAAAGAUGUGUUGUUAAUAUAGAGAUUUUUCCUGCCAAGUUUCUUUCAUGCAAAACUCUUUUUUUUUCUGCACAUAGCUUUUAGAGAUGUGUUAUCAAUUGUGACUUUUCCUUUCAGGUUCUUUCUAUGAAUAAUUUUAUUUUAAACAUAAUGGCUAAUAUGCUCUCUAAAUAUUUUGCACCCUGUUUUGUUUCACUGACAUAAUACAAUUUUUGUAAACAUUGUGAGCUUUAAUACGGAUGCUAUAAUCCAUCAAAUGGAUGUACCAUUAUUUAAGUAACGCUUUUCCUAUUUCUGGACAAAUAAGCUGUUUCUAAUUUUCUUCUAUAAAAAUUGAUGCUAUAGGGGGCUUCCCUGGUGGUGCAAUGGCUGAGAAUCCACCUGCCAAUGCCAAUGCAGGGGACAUGGGUUUGAUCCCUGGUCCGGGAAGAUCCCACAUGCCGCGGAGCAACUAAGCCCGUGCGCCACAACUACUGAGCCUGCGCUCUAGAGCCCGAGAGCCACAACUACUGAGCCCGUGCGCCUCGAGCCCGUGCUCUGCAACAAGAGAAGCCACUGCAAUGAGAAGCCCGCGCACCGCAACGAAGAGUAGCCCCCGCUCGCUGCGACUAGAGAAAGCCCACGUGCAGCAAUGAAGACCCAACACAGCCAAAAAUAAAUAAAAUAAAUAAAUUUAUUUAAAAAAAAUUGAUGCUAUAGUAAGUAUCUUUAUGUAUAGAAGCAAUGGUGGCUCUAAGUACAGCUUUUAUGUUCGGAUGUCCUGGAUUGGAAUCCUUGUUUCACUGCUGACAAAAUGUGUAUGCUUGGGCAUUGCUAUGUCACCUCUCUGACAUAGUAAAAUAAUUUGUAAAAUGGAAAAAUUAAUAGUCAUAUGUCAUAAGCUUUGGUGUAGCCAUUAAGUGGUAAUGCACUUGAAACACUUAGCAAAGUACCUGGCACAUAGUAAGCUAUUAUUAUUAUACACAAAGUCUUUGAUAUAUUUAAGAUUAUUCCUUGGCUAGGUUUCCAAAAGUAGGAUGACUGGGUCAAAGAUGAUGGCCAUUUUUAAAACUUUUUUUUUUUUUUCCCAGAAAGAACGUAUCAAUCUAUAUCAACCAAAACCUAAGUGACAUUUUGUUGUAUGAUUGCUAUAAAUAUUAUUUUUUGAGUCAAUUUUUAAUUUAGGAAGAAAAUUUUAGUGACUGAAAGAUAAAAUCACCACAUUAUUGUUUAAAUAUAUGAAUUCUGUGGUUAGAAAUUUUGAACAUAUUUUCAACAGUUUGUUGCAACAUUCGUUCUUUUUGAAUUAAUACUUUACUUCCUCUUACCAUUAUUGAAUUCUAUGUAUCAUUUCUAAAAUUUUAUUUAAUUUUCUAAUAAAUGUACUAUCCCUUCUCUUUAACAUAUAACUAAAUUUGUAUCUAUUAUUUGAAAGUAUUAUCCCGAACAGUUAAA